GAUGAACGCUGGCGGCGUGCCUAAUACAUGCAAGUCGAGCGAACAGACGCGGAGCUUGCUCCUCUGACGUUAGCGGCGGACGUGUGAGUAACACGUGGAUAACCUACCUAUAAGACUGGGAUAACUUCGGGAAACCGGAGCUAAUACCGGAUAAUAUAUUGAACCGCAUGGUUCAAUAGUGAAAGACGGUUUUGCUGUCACUUAUAGAUGGAUCCGCGCCGCAUUAGAUGGUUGGUAAGGUCACGGCUUACCAAGGCAACGAUGCGUAGACGACGUGGGAGAGGGAUAGGCCGCAUGGGAGCGGGACCGGGGACAAGAGUACUAAGGGACGGAGCAGUAGGGUAUCUGCGGCAGUGGGCGAAAGCCUGACGGAACGAGGCCGAGUGAGAUGCAGAGGCGUUGGGAGCGUAAUACUCGCUUAUUGGGGAAAAACAGAUGUGGAAGUAACUAUGCACGGCUUGACGGUAACUAAUCAGAAAGCCACGGCUAACUACGUG
rnacentral:rRNA from 1 species